rnacentral:rRNA from 1 species
GACUUUCAGUAGUGGUCUCUCUCUAGUGUAUUCUCUCGUGGUCAAGUAUGUAAGUGGUUAGUGUUCCUUGCCUUAGUUGUUUAUGUGUUCGUUAAACUGUCGGUCGGUCAGUAUACUUGUCGUAAAAUUGAUUGUUCAAGUUGAUCCUUAUUUUAAUUCAAAAGGUAUUCUCUUCUCCAAGUGGUCGACCUACCUGUAUGUACAUAUAUUGGUCAAGGUUCAAGGUCGGAUAAACGUUGAUGACGUUUUGGAUAUACUUUUAAUUCUCUUCUGGAUAUCUUAAUGGGUGAAGAAUCCUCCUGCUGCUGCUGUGAAGGGGUACCUUUGUGUUCCAACCAAAACGGUGCUUCUUUCGAAUACUGGGAUCCUCAAAUAAGAAGUAAGUCAUCAUGGUCAACCCCGGCAGCAAGAAGACGCCCAUCAGCUGCCACGGUCUGUACAACUUCGGUCUCGGCUUGGACUUUAGGCUACGCGGCCUCUACGACGGGUAGACCAACGGCUUGACGCGGACGCGCAGCAGUGGCUACUUCUUGACGACGACGCGGCCCCGGACGACGACGACGACGACGACGACGACACCGACAACACGAACGACGACGACGUAGUACAAUGAGUGUAGUGACUUGUAUGACAGCGGUAACGGAGGUUAAGGUAACGGGACAGGUUUCUUUGGGAGCAGGUAAUGACCCCACUACCGUAACCCGGAGAGAUAUUACCACUGCAGCAGCAACGGGUACAAGAACAACCACCGGCCCUUCCACCACAGCAUGUACAAGUAGUCGAGCCGCUACCUGGAGACCGGCAGGUACCCCUCCCCUAGUAACAUGAACGUCCACAUGGCCACCGACAACGCGCGUAAGGCCAGUUCCUUCGGCAUGGGCAUCAGCGACACACCCGUGACCUGCAACAACGUCCACAUCUGCGCCAACAAGUCGUAGUCGAGGCCGAGCCGCCGGUGGCGCGAGGAGAAGACCUGUAUGAGGUAUAGCGGCCAGAGGAGAAAGUACCCGCGAACGUACUCCUUGAACAGUAAGUCCUACCGGCGCGGCUCCAACUUCCGCCAACCUAGCAGGUACCGGUAGAACACCCACGGCCGGAGUAGCGGGAACGUCAGCAGCCGCUCCAGUUGCAGCAUGAGUGAGCUCGACCGCAACUUACUAUACCGUGACCGCUACGGCGGCCGUCUGCGACCUCCCGCUUGCGGGCCCACGUCGGAGUACUUGUCGAGGAGAAGGACGAAGUGGUGCCGGUCGGUCCACCUCUAGAGGAACCGCCAGUAGAACAGGACCUCCGUAAACCUGACCGCUUGCUCCGCGGCCUAGAAGAGCUACAGGCCGCUGUACACGAACUACUGUCGCCACUCGUGCGACUGGAAGGUCCGGAAGAAGUCCAGUACCCCGAAGAACAUGCCCCCGCCCGGGACCAGGAACCCCUACGGUUCGAGGCCGGUGGUGAGGAGCAGCGGCCUGCCGGUGGUACCUCCUCUCUACGGGAAGAGCUCGCCCUUGGAAGCGACGCCACCUAGCGUCACGACGUACUCGCGGCUCUCGUCGCUCGGGUCGCACCACAGGACGUCGAGGACGUCGCUCACGCCCGACCGCCACGGCCUUCGGUCGAGCGAGAGCCUCGGGCCGUGCCGCAACAGCCGGACCAUGAACCGCUACCGCCGGCCCGGCAAGGCCAGCUUCGCCUGGAAGAGGAAGGUGGUCCGUGCCUCCAACAGUCUCCGCGGCGAGUGCCCGAACGGGAAGAGGCCUUACUACGGCAUCUGCUUGGGGACCCGCGCCGUGUGGAGGUAGUAGAACUCGUACAUGAACUCCUACGGCAGGACGCGCGCGCUGUAGAAGAACGCCGCGCGGACGAGGACGCUGACGGCGCCGAAGUCAGGCAGCGGUCGGGGCGGCGGCGGCCGCCGGACGAGGAACGGCGCCGAGACGACGUCGAGGAACUCCGCGAACUCGAAGUACGCCAGCGCGGUGUACGCCGCGAGGUCGAGGAGCUACAGUAGGUGUAGCAGCAGCGACAGCAGGAGUGGCCGCAGGCCCUUCAACAAGCACCCCCCCAGGUGCUCCAGCGGGAGCGGGUACUGCGUGACCAGCGGCCUCCUACAGACGCCGUAUUCCCUCGGCUUCGGCUCCAAGAACAGCCGCGGCAAGACGACCUCGUCUAGGUGCUUCAACACGUGCGGCCUCUUGCGGUACGGGACUAGGUAGUCGUCGGGUGGAGGGUAGUACCAGUGAGUUCGUCGAGAAAAAGAGGUGUGUUCUUUAAGGUGAAGGAAGGUGAUGAUGAACAUCGACACCACCACAAGUGGACGUGUCUUCGUUCGUUUCUCCGGUCCAAUUAAUGUUCCGAAUAACGAACGACU